rnacentral:lncRNA from 1 species
CGAGAGUACACGUAUUCCUGUAUCUUUGCCAACACUGUGUUUUAGUAUUCUUAAAAAACCAUAUUCUGGCUUACUAGAUAUCCCAAAUCAAUAAGUCAAAAGAGAAGACAAAAUCUCACCAUAUGGUUUUCUAAAUCAUAAAUGUGCCAAAAAAGAUUCAGCUCCAGCCAAGAAAAUGCAGAAGAGGUAAAGGUCGAGAAGAAUAAGGAAAAGACUGAGAAACUGUCACAGACCAGAGGAGGCCAUGGAAGAUGAGACAAAUCAAUGCAAUGUGUGUACCUGGAUUGGAUCCUGGAGCAGAAAAAGACAUUAAAGGAAAAAUGAGUGAAAGCCAAAUAAAAGUCUGGAGUUUGGUUAAUGGUAACAUACCAAGAGCCUCGAUGUUGCCCAGGCUGGAGUACAGUGGCACGA